rnacentral:rRNA from 2 species
GGACUACAAGGGUAUCUAAUCCUGUUUGAUCCCCACACUUUCGUGCCUCAGCGUCAGUUACAGCCUAGUAAGCUGCCUUCGCUAUAGGUGUUCUUGACGAUAUCUAAGCAUUUCACCGCUACACCGUCAAUUCCGCCUACCUCAUCUGUACUCAAGCUCAUCAGUAUCAAUGGCACCCCUCUAGUUGAGCUAGAGUAUUUCACCACUGACUUAAUAAGCCGCCUACGCACCCUUUAAACCCAAUAAAUCCGGACAACGCUUGCCACCUACGUAUUACCGCGGCUGCUGGCAC